rnacentral:rRNA from 1 species
UACGAGGGGGGCGAGCGUUGUUCGGAAUUACUGGGCGUAAAGGGCGCGCAGGCGGCUCUGAAAGUCAGAUGUGAAAGCCCCGGGCUUAACCUGGGAAUUGCAUUUGAUACUCUGGAGCUUGAGUACGGGAGAGGAGAGUGGAAUUCCCAGUGUAGAGGUGAAAUUCGUAGAUAUUGGGAAGAGCACCGGUGGCGAAGGCGGCUCUCUGGACCGUAACUGACGCUGAGGCGCGAAAGCGUGGGGAGCAAACAGG